AUUGAACGCUGGCGGCAGGCCUAACACAUGCCAGUCGAGCGGAUGAAGGGAGCUUGCUCCUGGAUUCAGCGGCGGACGGGUGAGUAAUGCCUAGGAAUCUGCCUGGUAGUGGGGGAUAACGUCCGGAAACGGGCGCUAAUACCGCAUACGUCCUGAGGGAGAAAGUGGGGGAUCUUCGGACCUCACGCUAUCAGAUGAGCCUAGGUGGGAUUAGCUAGUUGGUGGGGUAAAGGCCUACCAAGGCGACGAUCCGUAACUGGUCUGAGAGGAUGAUCAGUCACACUGGAACUGAGACACGGUCCAGACUCCUACGGGAGGCAGCAGUGGGGAAUAUUGGACAAUGGGCGAAAGCCUGAUCCAGCCAUGCCGCGUGUGUGAAGAAGGUCUUCGGAUUGUAAAGCACUUUAAGUUGGGAGGAAGGGCAGUAAGUUAAUACCUUGCUGUUUUGACGGUACCAACAGAAUAAGCACCGGCUAACUUCGUG
rnacentral:rRNA from 1 species